GGGCAGCAUGAGGUAGCAAUACCUUGAUGGCGACCGGCGCACGGGUGAGUAACGCGUAUGCAACCUGCCUGAUACCGGGGUAUAGCCCCAUGGAAACGUGGAUUAACACCCCAUAGUACUUUUAUCCUGCAUGGGAUGUGAGUUAAAUGUUCAAGGUAUCGGAUGGGCAUGCGUCCUAUUAGUUAGUUGGCGGGGUAACAGCCCACCAAGACGAUGAUAGGUAGGGGUUCUGAGAGGAAGGUCCCCCACAUUGGAACUGAGACACGGUCCAAACUCCUACGGGAGGCAGCAGUGAGGAAUAUUGGUCAAUGGACGUAAGUCUGAACCAGCCAAGUCGCGUGAGGGAAGACUGCCCUAUGGGUUGUAAACCUCUUUUAUAAGGGAAGAAUAAGUUCUACGUGUAGAAUGAUGCCUGUACCUUAUGAAUAAGCAUCGGCUAACUCCGUGCCAGCAGCCGCGGUAAUACGGAGGAUGCGAGCGUUAUCCGGAUUUAUUGGGUUUAAAGGGUGCGUAGGCGGUUUAUUAAGUUAGUGGUUAAAUAUUUGAGCUAAACUCAAUUGUGCCAUUAAUACUGGUAAACUGGAGUACAGACGAGGUAGGCGGAAUAAGUUAAGUAGCGGUGAAAUGCAUACGCUAUAACUUAGAACUCCGAUAGCGAAGGCAGCUUACCAGACUGUAACUGACG
rnacentral:rRNA from 1 species